ensembl:snoRNA SNORD30 Small nucleolar RNA SNORD30
GAAAGUGAUGAUAUACAUUUGGAAUCUCGUUCGUCUGAACUCCUGUUGAGAAAUUCAAUUACUGACUUCU